ensembl:lncRNA
UGGACUCAUGUCUCAGCAUCACCAAGAAGAUUUCCCUAACUUACCCAUUUGUAAUGACUUUCCCAUGGAAUACAUUUCCCCUUUCUAAAUAAAACAUCAUAAGAAGUGUAUUCAGCUAAUAUGUACAAUUCAACAAACAUUUAUCAAGCCAUAUCAGGAUAAUCACUACCUAAGAAACAGUGCCUUAUAUUGCCACUUUUGUGAUAAUGGUUUACUUGCUUGGCAUUAUACUUUUACUAUUUAUAUUUGAGUCUAUAAGUGACAUAAUUUUGUCUAUUUUGAGACAGUAUACAAAAUGAAGUUAUAAUGAAUGGAUUUCUUACAUUUUUCGUUUGGGCUGUAUAUUACAUUUUUGAGAGUCAUUCACGUUACUGUUUGCAGCUGUAGUUUCUUCUCCAAGCUGUGUGGUAAUCUACUGGAUGGCAGCACUACAACUUGAGCAUUCUUCCGCUGAUACUAUGGUCACAUGAAUGGAAACCUUCCAGCUGAAAGGAGAAGCAUGCAGCAUGGCCAGGCACUGAUGAGGCACUGUGUUUCAAGCUGGGUCCUGCUGAAACAGAUCUGAUGACCUUUCUUCCCUUCAGAUUUUUUAAUGUACUGAAGACUAUUACCUGGCUGGGGAAAGAGGAUAGCGCUUAAAAACAGUUCCUUUUUUGGUACAUAAGAAACUGAACUGUGUUUUUAAACAGAAUGAAGUAGAGCUGCGUGUGCUGUUUUUGAAAAUGUUCCAAAGAAUGUUGCUACUGAUACAUGAAGAGUGUGAAACAUUCUUUACACCUUAAUCUCACAUCUUAAAAAAGGGUAUUUGUACAUGGUGCUAGGUGCCUAACUUUCCUGAAGAUUAGGCAGAACUAGGAACUUCUGGGUAAAGGGCGCAGGAUUCAGGGGACAGUUGUAGAGAGAUGUGAAAAAAUCCUUGCUUUUCAUUUUAAUUGAAAAACGUUUUGUCAGGAACUAUUAUCAUUUCUAUGAAAAAUAAAAGGAAGUGUAAGUGUAUGCAAAGUCCAGCUGCAUGAUAUCUUUCAUAAGGCACUGGGUGGUUUGACCCCAGCUCCCUAUCUGAAUCAAUCAGUGAUAAUUACUUCAGUAAUUAUGGCCUGGAAUUGUGCUUCUCUGGACCACAUUGUGAACAGCACCAGCAAAAACCUUCCCUUUAGAAUGGAAGGCCUGAGGCAUGGUGAAGUCCUCUUGAAGUUAACAUCAUGACCUUUUUCUCACUUCAAUUUUAUGAAACUGAUAAGGAAAAGUUACCUCUCAUUUCUGAGGCGUUUGUGAGAAUCAAAUGGAGAAAUUAUUUUGGUGAAUGGUUUUUGAAAAGGUACUUGGCUUGGUGUCCUGAGGCGUCCCAAAGAGUCUGAUUCUUUAAAAUAUAUGAUCUGGGGCCAGGGAUUUAGCUCAGUGGUUUCACUGCCUGCUGCACAAGUUCAAGGACCUGAGUUUGAUCCCCAGUACCAAAAAAAAUAAAAAAUAAAAAAAUAAAAUAUAUGAUCUGGUAAGGAAACAAAGACAUUCAAGCACAUGAUCUUUUAAAGCAACUCUCUUUCCUUUACUCUCUUCCUCUAGUGCCAAGCAUAUAUGAAUAUUAUUUCAUGUUCUUAAAUUCUAGGUAAUGUUCCUAUGUGCUCAGUGGAGACAAUUAUUGCCUGUCUAUGUGAGCUGCUUUUUCAAGGAAGGAAAUGACUGAAGAAAUGGGAACGCUGUCAACAUUGAGAUGAAUAUGAGGGACGGAGGGAUAUGUUUGUUUUAAAGAAAGAAAUAAAACAGCAUUUGAAAUUUUUUUUAGAGUGUGAACUUUUUCCAGGCUAGAUCCAGGUAGAGCGACUUCAAGGCUCAGAGGCCGAGAACGUGUGGCUACUGGGUUUCAGAACUCUGGUCUUCUAACUCCAGUUUCCACACUUCUGUCACCAGCUACUCUUUGAACAUGAACCUGAUGUCCUUUGAGGUAAUGAGUGUCUUCUAGGCAUGGAAUAUUGUCUUUGUUACUUUCUUUGUUGCUGCGACAAAAUACCGAAAACAUGCGACUUAAGAAAGGAGAGGUUUAUUUUGGCUCACAGUUUGGUUUCAGUUCUUAGUUGUCCAACUUUGUUUUUAUUUAUUUAUUUUACUUAAAUUCUUUUAUUGGUACAUUGUAGGUAUACAGC